AAAUGUGCAGCGGUUUUGAAAGCGGCUUCUCCGUUCAGCGCAGAUGCUGUAACCCCUGGGGCGAGCUGUCCCUCUGUCCGUUGCAGUGAAACCGCUGCGACUGUGCGGGCAGCCCGAGGCCAGGGCAGCACUGCCCGGGGCAGGGGCGGAAGGGCCCCUGGUGAUGCUCCCGAAGUGUUUGCGUUCGCCUGCGACCCUCGGGGAGCCCCGGCCCUGGCCCCGGUUUGCGCUGCCCCCGGUGCGGGGCUGUUCAGUGCCGCCCGUUUCGGUCUGCGCUGUGCCAGAUCUCCCGGUAAGGCACCGACCCCUCCGCAGCCCUUUGCUGACGCGCCCUCCAUCCCUCUCUUGGCCAUUUCUUCUGCCGAGAUCGGAGCCACGUGCGCGGCCGCACGGGUCCCUUGGCGGUCCCUUCCCCGUCGGGGCCUGACGGGGCGCUGGGGGCUCCUUUGCUCGCCCCGGGCGCGGUGCGGGCGGGGCCGCGGCGGUGCCGGGCAGGGGGUGCAGGGCCGAGGCGCGGCCGCCAGGAGGCGCUGCUGCUCGCGCUGCGCGGGGCGGGCGGGCGCACCUGGCGCGCGCGGGGCCGUGGCUCCGGGCCCGCUCCGCGCCCCGCGCAGCGGCUGCGCCCGACCCGGCCGGCGCCAGCGGCCGCUGCCGGAGCUGCGCCCCGCGCACACGGGCCGUGCCCGCCCCGGCGCAGCACGGUCGGCAGCCGCUCUCCCACUGCUAGCGCGGCGGGGGACGUCCGCAGCCCGCCGGCAUGGAGCCCUAGAGGGCAGCUGCUGGGGAGAUCACUUCUGAUCAGGCAGGGAUUGGUGGUGUGGGAGAAGGAGGAGGAAGAUUUGAUGGAGGCUGGAGGCCUGGGCCUCAGAAGAAGCUGGACUUGGCAGCCUUAAGCCUGGAUGCGGCUGCAGAGGAGUUUGGAAGUAGAGGCAGGUAGGAGCACACUUGCUGGUCUCAGGAUCUUGUGGGUGUUGUGCUGUGCCACUGUGGGAUAA
rnacentral:lncRNA from 1 species